rnacentral:rRNA from 1 species
AUUGAACGCUGGCGGCAGGCCUAACACAUGCAAGUCGAACGAGUGGCGGACGGGUGAGUAAUGUCUGGGAAACUGCCUGAUGGAGGGGGAUAACUACUGGAAACGGUAGCUAAUACCGCAUACCAUCGGAUGUGCCCAGAUGGGAUUAGAUAGUAGGUGGGGUAACGGAUCACCUAGGCGACGUUCCCUAGCUGGUCUGAGAGGAUGACCAGCCACGCUGGAACUGCGACACGGUCCAGACUCCUACGGGAGGCCGCAGUUGGGAAUAUUGCACAAUGGGCGCAAGCCUGAUGCAGCCAUGCCGCGUGUAUGAAGAAGGCCUUCGGGUUGUAAAGUACUUUCAGCGGGGAGGCGGUACCCGAAGAAGAAGCACCGGCUAACUCCGUGCCAGCGGCCGCGGUAAUUA